rnacentral:rRNA from 1 species
CGGCGAGUGAAGCGGCAACAGCUCAAAUUUGAAAUCUGGCCCCCCCGCGGGGGUCCGAGUUGUAAUUUGCAGAGGGUGCUUUGGCGUUGGCUGUGGUCUAAGUUCCUUGGAACAGGACGUCGCAGAGGGUGAGAAUCCCGUAUGUGGCCGCCAGUCUUCGCCGUGUAAAGCCCCUUCGACGAGUCGAGUUGUUUGGGAAUGCAGCUCUAAAUGGGAGGUAAAUUUCUUCUAAAGCUAAAUAUCUGCCAGAGACCGAUAGCGCACAAGUAGAGUGAUCGAAAGAUGAAAAGCACUUUGGAAAGAGAGUCAAAAAGCACGUGAAAUUGUUGAAAGGGAAGCGCUUGCAGUCAGACGUGCCUCUAGUUGCUCAGCCGGGCCUUCGGGCCCGGUGCACUCUUCUAUUGGCAGGCCAGCAUCAGUCUGGGCGGUCGGAUAAAGGCCCAUUAAACGUGACUCCCUCCGGGGAGAGCUUAUAGGGUGGGCGACAUGCGACCAGCCCGGACUGAGGUCCGCGCAUCUGCUAGGAUGCUGGCUUAAUAACUGUAAGCGGCCCGUCUUGAAACACGGACCAAGGAGUCUAACAUCUAUGCGAGUGUUUGGGUGUCAAGCCCGGACGCGUAAUGAAAGUGAACGGAGGUGGGAUCCCUUCGGGGUGCACCAUCGACCGAUCCUGAUGUCUUCGGAUGGAUUUGAGUAAGAGCAUAGCUGUUGGGACCCGAAAGAUGGUGAACUAUGCCUGAAUAGGGUGAAGCCAGAGGAAACUCUGGUGGAGGCUCGCAGCGGUUCUGACGUGCAAAUCGAUCGUCAAAUUUGGGCAUAGGGGCGAAAGACUAAUCGAAC